rnacentral:rRNA from 1 species
GAUGAACGCUGGCGGCGUGCCUAAUACAUGCAAGUCGAGCGAACGGACGAGAAGCUUGCUUCUCUGAUGUUAGCGGCGGACGGGUGAGUAACACGUGGAUAACCUACCUAUAAGACUGGGAUAACUUUGGGAAACCGUAGCUAAUACCGGAUAAUAUUUUGAACCGCAUGGUUCAAAAGUGAAAGACGGUCUUGCUGUCACUUAUAGAUGGAUCCGCGCUGCAUUAGCUAGUUGGUAAGGUAACGGCUUACCAAGGCAACGAUGCAUAGCCGACCUGAGAGGGUGAUCGGCCACACGGGAACUGAGACACGUUCCAGACGCCGACGGGAGGCAGCAGUAGGGAAUCUUCCGCAAGGGGCGAAUGCCUGACGUAGCAACGUCGCGUGAGUGAUGAAGGUGUUCGGCUCCGAAAACUCUGUUAUUAGGGAAGAACAUAUGUGUAAGUAACUGUGCACAUCUUGACGGUACCUAGUCAGAAAGCCACGGCUAACUACGUG